AGCUAUAUGAGUUAAUAUGUAGUUACUUCUGCUCAAUGAUUAUUAAAUAGCCGCAGUACCCUGACUGUGCAAAGGUAGCAUAAUCAGUUGGCUUUUAAUUAGAGUCUGGUAUGAAUGAAAGUAUGGGUGGUGACUGUCUUAACAUAUUAAGUUGAACUUAUUAAACAAGUGCAAAUACUUGUAAACUUCCAAAAGACGAGAAGACCCUAGAAACUUGAAAUAGUUUUUGUUGGGGCGACAGAAUUACAUUUAACUAAUUUUAAGAAACAUGACAUUUUAUUGAAAGAGUAAGUUACUCUAGGGAUAACAGCAUAAUUUUAAUAGUUUGUGACCUCGAUGUUGGACUAGGUAUUAUAUCCUUAAGGCAAGGUUAUAAGAUGCUCUGUUCGAGCAGUGUUACCUACAU
rnacentral:rRNA from 1 species